UGAAAUCAGCAACCAAAACUCUUAUUAAAACACUUGAACACUGAAACAAUCACGAACAUAACAAACUCACACACUCUUACACUCCUAACACAUACAGAUCAUCAAGUUGAUGAUCUGAUAUACAACUUGACUCACGAUACAAGAUCUAAACACUAGAUCUUUACAAACGAAGGAAAUCAAGACAAACCCUAGGAGAGAGAACGACGUGUUACAGAGAAAUAUCUAGAACAAUGAUUAUUUCAAUGUACACAGACUUGUAACCAGUUCACUUAUAUGGAUCAGUCAUCAACUUGUUUGUUAAGUCGGUCAGAUAUGUAAAGCCCAGUAGUCCAGCAGCCCAAUAGUCCAUAUGUAAAGCAAGAGCAGUCCAGUAGUCCAUAUGUAAAGCCCAGCCAGUCGUCAUAUGUUCGUCAUAUGUAAAGCCCAGUCCAAGAUCAAAAUAUAACCCCUCAUGUUGACUAC
rnacentral:lncRNA from 1 species